rnacentral:rRNA from 1 species
GCGCCAAUGGUACUGCACCUUAAUCAGUGUGGGAGAGUAGGACACCGCCGAAC